rnacentral:tRNA from 1 species
CGGGGCGUAGCGCAGCUUGGUAGCGCACCUCGUUCGGGACGAGGGGGUCGGAAGUUCAAAUCUUCUCGCCCCGACCA